rnacentral:rRNA from 1 species
CAUGUAGGCGGUCUGUCAAGUCUGAUGUGAAAGCCCGGGGCUCAACCCCGGAAGUGCAUUGGAAACUGGCAGACUUGAGUACAGGAGAGGAAAGUGGAAUUUCGAGUGUAGGGGUGAAAUCCGUAGAUAUUCGAAGGAACACCAGUGGCGAAGGCGGCUUUCUGGACCGAUACUGACGCUGAGAUGCGAAAGCGUGGGGAGCAAACAGGAUUAGAUACCCUGGUAGUCC